UCCACAACACAGAGCUUGAUGUGCCCCUCUCAAACUUUUUCCACGAACGCACGGGAACGCGCGCACAGCGAACAGCUCAGGUGAGUUGCCUCCGAACCGGGAUGCUGCAAUCGCUUCGCCCGUCUCUGGAGUGGCUUGGUUUGAGUGUGUUUCCAGUGAAAAGUUGCGGCUGUACUUAGUGCGUCAGCGCUCAAAACUUGAGCACAAAGAAGGAGGGAGAGGACGAGAGACAUAGAGAAAUCAAGGCGAGAGAGAGAGAGAGCGCGAGAGGAGCGGUCCCCUUUUCCUUUGUCUUUGAGGAGAGAACUUAAGGGGAUGCUCAAAGACGCAUCUUCAUAACGUUCACUUACAGCAAACUUGUUCUGCUUCACAAAGUGUUAUGUCUGGGAUUUUAAUGGAUGUGAGAUGGAGUAAGUGCUGGUGCCGUGUUUUUGUCUCCUGGGGAUGUUGCGACACGCAAAACAAAGCCUGUCAGAAGUUUGCCAGGGAUGGACGCUUUACGCACGCACGCAGGAAAAAGAAAAAGUGAAUGGAAGUUGCGUUCUUGUUUUUGAGAAGUUGGCGCUGCAGUGAGGAAAUUCUCCACAAUGCAAUCAGGUGUAAAGUCUGCACGAAACAAGCCAGUGGAAUUUUAACAGAUUAUCUAGCAAGGCAUCUCCUGUGGAAGGUCAAGAAAAUGGCAAAAACAAUAUGCUGAAAGAACAUGAAGAUGGCACAGGAUCACUUAUCAGACAAAGCUUUAAGACGGAGAGGAGGAUUUAGAGACCGUGCAGGUUCCUUUUGGGGAGAAGGUAAAGACUUAUCUCAUGUUGGAUUUAAACUUUUGCAACAGCGGUGCCUGUUGGAUUGCGUUUUAGGGCACACGUGAAAAUCCCAAACUCAUGGAGACACUUUAAGGAUUAUCCGAAUUCAUGGUAAAUCUCUCCACAAGAUACAUCUUGAGCCAGAGUUUCUGGGACAGCAGGAUAUUGCACUUCUGAUCCUCCUCGGCCCUCGGCACGGGGAGCGUGGGAGUACUGAGGUUUGGGAGAUCACGACCCUAAUUCUUUCCUAGACAGACGGUUUAAUUAACACUGUAGGAAUCCUCUCCAACUCCAGACCUCUGCAAAAGGAAUUUACUCAGGAAUUACACCACACAGGUCUUGGACAUUUAGUGGACCAGAAAGCUGACAGAUGAUGCUCAUGAAUGAUGGAUGAUAUCUUCUUGGUGCCAGUUGAAUGCAUUAUAAGGCAAUGAUACGGCCCCUGUCAUUGUGGCUCACAUUGGCAGAAGACCACCUCACAGGGAUUUUCCUCUUCACCAGGUGAGGCAGACUGAGAUUCAGUGACAUCUAUACAGAAGUUGAGGCCUGUUCCGGAGGAGUGAAGAUCUAAAAAAACAAGCCUGCAUAAAAAGGCAGAGGGAAGACGCCGAUAGAGAGGAGAAUGUCUUGAUAGGGAAAGAAAAACAGAAGAAAAGAUGAAAGGACAUAUUUUUUGUGUGUUUGUAUGUUUGAAGAUUUAGCACUGUCCUGUGGUAUCAAUGUUAAAUUGUACAGCAUGCUACUCACUGAGCAGAAGUGGUUAAAUGGGUCUCAUGGUUUUGGGUGUUUUGUAUAGUAAAGGCACAGCUUUGCAUUUGUAAAAUUGAGACAUGCAUUUAUUUAUUUUUUAUAUAUAUAUAUAUAUUUUUUUUUUCUUUUUGUGUAGAAUUGAACCCAUGAAGCUCAUUUUAAAGGCUCAGUUUAUACAAGACAAACCUUUUACUCAAGAUUCCAUUAAUUCAAGAAGCUAAGGUCAGAGUGUAACAUCAUAAGCUUGGAUUGCAUCUACUAUAAUGGAGGUUGUCUAACGUUGGUCGCUGGGGAACAAAAACAGCAUUAAGGACCUGCGCUCAUGCAAUAUGCAUAGCUCAGAGGAGAAAUAUGCCUAAACUCAGGCUCUUGUAACAAUAAAAAUGUGAAGAGUUUAACUUUUA